AGCAAUUGGCUGGGGUGUUUUUCCGCUCUGUGGGAGAUUUGUUCUUUCGCUUUUUGGGUCCACGCUGCGUUUGUGAGCUGUAACACCGUGAAGGUCUGCAGCUUCACUCCUGAAGUCAGGCGAGAAGACUACGAACCCACCUGGAGGAACGAACAACUCCAGACUCGCCGCAUUAAGAGCGGUAACACCGCGAAGGUCUGCAGCUUCACUCCUGAGCCAGCGAGAUCACGAACCCACCGGAAGGCUGUAACAUAUCUGAACAUCAGAAGGAACAAACUCCGGACAGGCCGCCUUCAGGAACUGUAACACUCACCGCGAGGGUCCGUAGCUUCAUUCUUGAAGUCAGUGAGACCAAGAGCCCACCAAUUCCGGACACAACAGGACACACUGCGGCUUCUCCUGGCUUUUUCAAAGUUCAGCCCAAGAGGAAGAGAGACCUAAUUAAUACCCAGGAGAUGGUGGUGUUUAUUUUUUCCAGCUGGGACAACUAAGGCCCCGAGAGGAGAAAGGGACUAUCCGGGGUACAGAGGCCACUGAGUCAGAGCUAGGACCAACAUAUCACCAGCUCUCCCUCUUCAGCGCAGACCCCAACUCACCAGCGGUGGCUUCCUGAAGAGCUGGGUUAAGGAGGAUUCUGAGGUGCAGCAGAGCUCGCUAAGAGGCUGACGGGUAAGGGGUGCUGCGCUGUGAGCACAGGAGCCAGGUGGGUGUUGCCUGCCAUCCCCUCUACCUCUCCCUCUUCUCUCUGCCACCUCGGUUUUUCUCCAUCCUUUCACUCACCCCCGACCCGCCAUUGUUUCACCUGCCCUUCGUUGAGAGUAAGGAUAGGGCCUCUGCUGUGCCCAGGCCACGUUUCUGGGCCUCUUUUUUCCUCUCCCAGGUCUGAAGGGGCCUCAGUUUGGGGUUCUUAAGGGCCCAGAGACCUGUGAACAGUUGCUCCCUCCCCUACUUAGUGGCCCACGUGGAACUCAAGAGUAUCCCGCUCCGUGGCUGUUCAGAAAUGCAGCAGCACAGCCCCCAGGCAGCAAUCGUUCAGGAGCGCUGGGAAGCCCACAGCCAGCCUGAGCCCUCCGAGAUGCCUCUAGACUCUGGGCCCGGGAUCAAUACUUGGGAGGGGGAGAGCAGAUGUGAAUGCGAUGCGGGCACACGCACAGCGUGCUGCUGGAGGCCCAGCUCAGAGGAGCUGGGCCAGCCUCCCCCGCCCUCUCCUUUCUCCUUGCCUUGCGGGGGCCAAGAGGGCUGUGGAGGGCUCUGCUGGAGUCUGCCAUCUGCUGCUGAAAACAUCUGCGCUUGCUGCCUUCCACGCAGACGAGCUGUCCGUCCUUCCUCCUCCCCCUCUUCCGCCAAGGCUAUUCAGACGGGCGUGCAGGCUGCGGGCAGAGGUCAGGAAGCUCCCCGGCCUGUCCAGGCACGAGACAGCAGGCACUGCCUCUUUGGUACCUAGGCAGCUGUGUCUGCGAGUCCCUGGCUCUCUCCCAGGUGCCCUGCUUUAAGAAAAUCCAAUAGGAACAAAGUCCUGUUUGCAAAGUGGACACCUGCGGGCAAUGUAUGUCUCUGUCUGCAUUGCACAGAGAUCAUCCUGAGCGAUUCAAUGAUUUUUUCUCUCUGUGGGUUCUAAGUUCUUAACCAGAAAAGGAGAUGUUAAUUGAAUCACCUGGGAGGUUUUUCAACAUGCACCCGGCCAGUCCCCAUGUUUCCCACUCUCAGACAAAACAGGUUUGGGGAGAAGAGUUUGUUGAAAGAGGUCCCUAGCACCCAGUGUUGCUGACAGAUCCCCUCCCCACCUCUCCCUGCUCUGCUACCCUUGCGCAUUUCAGCUUUUAUUUAAAAGUCAGUAACUACCUACAGUGGAGGAGGGGGCUUUAAAGCUGAACUGUUCUAUCUCACUAUGAAUUAAAGAUCAGUUAGAAAUGAAAUUUCAACACCCAAGAAAAGAAUAGGUACAUUUAUUAGAAAAUGGGAGUGCUGUAUAUUUAAAUUUUUAAAAUGUAUACAGAUUAGGUCCAUAAUUCAUUGUUUCUAUAAAAUCAUAUCUGUGGCAAGCCCCUGCCUCCACAGAAACAAUUUUAUUUCAUAGAGCAAUCUAUUUGUAAGCAUGGAAGGACCAUUAUAGAUCCUAACAGUGUCCUUUAAGAAUGAGGACACAGAGUUGACCCACUUCUCCUAGUAUAUGUUGGAAUUCCAAAUUCUAUCGGUUUAUUUACUCAUUUAUUGAGACGGAAUGUUGCUCUGUCGCCAAGCCUGGAGUGCAGUGGCGCAAUCUCUGCUCACUGCAACCUUUACCUCCCAAGUUCAAGCGAUUCUUCCACCUCAGCCUCCCGAGUAGCUGGGACUACAAGUGCGUACGUCAUCGUGCCCAGCCAAUUUCUUUUGUAUUUUUAGUAGAGACAGGUUUUCACCAUGUUGGCCAGGCUGGUCUCGAACUCCUGACCUCAAGUGAUCCACCCGCCUCAGCCUCCCAAAGUGCUGGGAUUACAGGCGUGAGCCACCGCACCCGGUCUCUAUCAAGUUUAUUUGUUUGUAUCCACAUGGAAAAGGUAAGCCCCCUUCUGCUCACAGGUACUAUGUCUGCUUUGCUCACUGCUAUAUCCCCAGUGCCCAGAAUGGUGUUUGUUGAAUGAAUGAAUGAGCACAUAGACAGGUCUACUGGUGGCUGUUGCAUUGCAGGGAUCUGUGAGAAUGCACUGAUGCGUACAUCUGUGUCAUUUUAAUAUGUCCACUUCUGUGCAUGUCUGCAUUACUAAUGCAUGUUUUUAUGGAUCGAGC
rnacentral:lncRNA from 1 species